UCCAACGAUGGACGUUCGUUGAACGGUUAUUUGGACGAUGCCCAAAUUGGUCCAACGAACGUCCUUCAUUGGACGAUUUUGAAACCAACCGUUCUUAGAGGGUUGUUAUUGAUGCAACCCCUAGUUACGAAAUGGGAAAAAUGUUACAACAAAACAAGCAGAUAGCAAUAUAGGUAGAACAAUAGUUUAUCGUGAAAGUAACCUGGAUUAUCUGUUGGGAAAUUGAUUGUAUUUGCACUUAAUUACAAGGAAACUGUACGGCGGUACCUACAGAAGGACCUCCGUACAGCUUUGCAGUGUGAUGUUUGUAGACAGCAACAAUGUCCACGAUACAACCGCAAUGCGUUAUUCACGAACCGUGGAAAGAGCUUCUAAUUGAUCGGUCGUUAGACGACGCGGUGAAUAACGUUUUCGCUUACGUUUUGGACAGUUUCAUAUGCAAUUAGUACUCACAAAUAGCUCCUGAUGGAGUAUAUUCUCAACAUUAAAAGCAAUCUGAGGGGUGCUCUAUGCCGGUUGUUCAGAGCCUCAUAAACAGCGAAUUUUACUAGCCUGGUGUAGAUCUGGGAAACUUAGAUCUCCCGUGAUAAUAAGUGGAUGCGCGGACGUUAGUGAAAAGUUAAAGGCCGUGAUCAAAAAAUUUCCAACCUGGCAUGAUGCAGAAUGGAUUAAUCUCGAACCCGCGGUUGCUCGACUUUGUUUUCCAAUAUGCGUUUCGAAGAACUCCAGUCAUUUACUGAAGAAAGAGUCGUACGUUUUGGAAUACUAUAAAGUAGCCGAUUGGUCGUCAGUACCCAAGAAUUUGGCAAUUCCGUUAGCUAUAUCGUAUGCUAUCACUCGAAGCCUAGCUCCAGGAGCUGUGAUUCCAUUGAAAUCUGUCAAGUCGAUUCCAGACUUGAAGCCAUCGUUCGAGUUACGAUUCCUACUGUGGUUGGCCUUCUGAACAGCAGCAGCGUUAGCGUUGUCCAUUAUAUCCCCGUCGAGAGGGAGCAUCAGCUGAAAGCAGCUUUGAAGAUCGUGGAACUUACAUUCAGGCAGCUUUGUACGUUAGGCUUUUAAUCGUGUAGUAACACUAGCAGAUAGAUGUACUACUAAAUAUAAUCAAUGGAAAGAUAGGCAUUUUGAUAGUUCGUUUACUCAGUAGAGAUAGGCAACGCAGUUCACGUCGAAGAACCAUUCCCAACUUAACAGUUCUGUAUAAUGAACUAGAGUAGGUACAUUCAGUUGAUAUUUUACUUGUGUAUCUAGCAAAUGGUUUCAAUACAUUUGAAUCUGAGAGAAACUCCCAACAGAGGUGAUUUCUGAGCUAGAGCUCUCACAGAACGUAUCUCUAUAUGCUGAAAGGCUUCACGAAGGUGGCGAGAAUAAUGACUGAAAUAUAGUGAGGGGAAUAUUUUUAUUUUGCUU